GAUGAACGCUGGCGGCGUGCCUAAUACAUGCAAGUCGAGCGAACGGACGAGAAGCUUGCUUCUCUGAUGUUAGCGGCGGACGGGUGAGUAACACGUGGAUAACCUACUUAUAAGACUGGGAUAACUUUGGGAAACCGGAGCUAAUACCGGAUAAUAUUUUGAACCGCAUGGUUCAAAAGUGAAAGACGGUCUUGCUGUCACUUAUAGAUGGAUCCGCGCUGCAUUAGCUAGUUGGUAAGGUAACGGCUUACCAAGGCAACGAUGCAUAGCCGACCUGAGAGGGUGAUCGGCCACACUGGAACUGAGACACGGUCCAGACUCCUACGGGAGGCAGCAGUAGGGAACCUUCCGCAAUGGGCGAAAGCCUGACGGAGCAACGCCGCGUGAGUGAUGAAGGUCUUCGGAUCGUAAAACUCUGUUAUUAGGGAAGAACAUAUGUGUAAGUAACUGUGCACAUCUUGACGGUACCUAAUCAGAAAGCCACGGCUAACUACGUG
rnacentral:rRNA from 1 species